UACGUAGGGUGCAAGCGUUAAUCGGAAUUACUGGGCGUAAAGGGCGCGUAGGCGGCCUUCUAAGUCGGACGUGAAAUCCCCAGGCUUAACUUGGGAACUGCGUCCGAUACUGGAGGGCUUGAGUGCGGGAGAGGGAUGUGGAAUUCCAGGUGUAGCGGUGAAAUGCGUAGAUAUCUGGAGGAAUACCGGUGGCGAAGGCGGCAUCCUGGACCGGCAUUGACGCUGAGGAGCGAAAGCCAGGGGAGCAAACGGG
rnacentral:rRNA from 1 species